rnacentral:antisense_RNA from 1 species
GAGGGCGGGGACCGCUGCGCCUACCUGCUUUUCCCUCCAUAGGGACUUCCCAAAGGAAAGGAGGGCGUUUAGGGGCUUUCACACGCCUGAUCUUAAACACAGCGCCCUGACCCCUCCCCUCCAAAAACGGCAAAAUGUCAUUUUUGGGGGCAAAUCUAAGGUUUUCCCUACAAUUGUUCAAGCUUUCACACUAAAACAUUUACCUAAAAACGGGCAGAAAUUCAGCCUUAAACCCACAAAUCUCACGAUGGUAUGGACCCUGGGCCCACUCAGGUUUCCUGAAAACUAAACAAUUCUGGAGUUAGGGGUUUGGAGAACGGGCUAUUGUUAAAGAAAAAAGUAUUUAGUGACACUUGUUAAAGCACAAAAAGAGGGCUUUAUUCAGGACCAUCGCAACAGGUAUAGGGACCACUGACUGCAAUGGAGACUUGCAGUGGGGAAAGAGAUAUUGGGCUCAACUCCUCAUACAGCAUGGGCAAGUGGAGAUUUAUAGCCAAGGAGCGGUGACAGGCCAAGAUAAUGAGGCAUCACCUGGGGGAUGGUGGAGACUGAAGAACCUGAUCAGAUAUUGAGGAUGAUCAGCUAUCAAGGAUGGGGGUUUAUUGCUAAUCUGACUUAGCAAAGCUCUUUGUUUAAACUGGAUUUUACAAAGAAAGUGUACAGAAGAGCCUAGCAGAAGAUUCAGAAACCUGACUAAAGUUGGCCAAGCAAAAAAAAAAAUCUUUGUAUCUAAAGGGAUAUGUUAUCCUCUGGACAAAUUGAGGGGGGCUGUGCGUUAACAAUCUUAGCAGUCCUCUUCAGUUGUACCACCAUCUCCACUUUAAUGAAAAAAAAAUUUCUUUCAAAUCU